GAUGAAGAACGUAGCGAAAUGCGAUAAGUAAUGUGAAUUGCAGAAUUCAGUGAAUCAUCGAAUCUUUGAACGCACAUUGCGCCCCCUGGUAUUCCGGGGGGCAUGCCUGUCCGAGCGUCAUUGCUGCCCUCAAGCACGGCUUGUGUGUUGGGCCUCCGUCCUCCUCCCGGGGGACGGGCCCGAAAGGCAGCGGCGGCACCGCGUCCGGUCCUCGAGCGUAUGGGGCUUCGUCACCCGCUCUUGUAGGCCCGGCCGGCGCUUGCCGACACAUCAAUCUUUUUUCCAGGUUGACCUCGGAUCAGGUAGGGAUACCCGCUGAACUUAAGCAUAUCAAUACGGAGGA
rnacentral:misc_RNA from 1 species